rnacentral:rRNA from 1 species
UACGUAGGGUGCGAGCGUUAAUCGGAAUUACUGGGCGUAAAGCGUGCGCAGGCGGUGAUGUAAGACAGGCGUGAAAUCCCCGGGCUCAACCUGGGAACUGCGCUUGUGACUGGCAGGCUAGAGUACGGCAGAGGGGGGUGGAAUUCCACGUGUAGCAGUGAAAUGCGUAGAGAUGUGGAGGAACACCAAUGGCGAAGGCAGCCCCCUGGGUCGAUACUGACGCUCAUGCACGAAAGCGUGGGUAGCAAACAGG